GACGAACGCUGGCGGCGUGCUUAACACAUGCAAGUCGAACGGAAAGGCCCUGCUUUUGUAGGGUGCUCGAGUGGCGAACGGGUGAGUAACACGUGAGUAACCUGCCCUUGACUUUGGGAUAACUUCAGGAAACUGGGGCUAAUACCGGAUAGGAGUUCCUGCUGCAUGGUGGGGGUUGGAAAGUUUCGGCGGUUGGGGAUGGACUCGCGGCUUAUCAGCUUGUUGGUGGGGUAGUGGCUUACCAAGGCUUUGACGGGUAGCCGGCCUGAGAGGGUGACCGGCCACAUUGGGACUGAGAUACGGCCCAGACUCCUACGGGAGGCAGCAGUGGGGAAUAUUGCACAAUGGGCGGAAGCCUGAUGCAGCAACGCCGCGUGCGGGAUGACGGCCUUCGGGUUGUAAACCGCUUUCGCCUGUGACGAAGCGUGAGUGACGGUAAUGGGUAAAGAAGCACCGGCUAACUACGUG
rnacentral:rRNA from 1 species